GCUGGCUGCUGCUGGCUGUCGUCAGCGAUGCCGCCGCCGGCCACAAGGUGGCAGUGCCGUGCUGCGUGGCUACACGCCCCUGGAAGCACCGGACCAGCCUUGGUCUGGCAAAAGUUUUCCAGUCUUUCCAGCAGAUGCGCCCAGGCCGUGAGCCCUCCCGGGCGGCCUGGAGGCAAGGGAUCGGGUGGGGGUGGGGUAGCCGCCGAUGUCCUGGGUGGCUUUGGGGGCGAUUUGCAAAGGCAUGCAUUUGUUGUUAAGAGCUCGGAGAAACAGUUUGGGGGAGCCUGUCACAGAUGCAAAGUCUGUUGAUAUUUCCAGGAGUGUUUGGUUUGGUUUGGGCUUUAGGGACCUACAGCAAGCAUCGAUUCUCGUGGAGGCGAACAACACUGACAGCUACUCUUUGUCUCUCGUCGGGAUUCUGAACAGAGCCCGACGUCGCUUCCAUUUCAGAGAUAUAUGCCGCUGACACUACCUUGAGAGAGCUCCUGCCUCCAUGGUUCCUGACCUGCCUAGAAGGGGAGGGCGCAGGAGACUCUUGUUCUACAGCUGUCCUCGGGAUGCCCUCAAUUCCCAGGCGCAGGGAUAAGCUUGUCUGACCCCAUUUGACCCCGCCGCAGGCGCCAGGCGUCCUCAUUUAUUGCGAGGCCUAAGAGUCCUCAAGGCUUACUGCCUGCCUACCCCCCUCCCCCACCACCCGCCGCUCUUCGUUUUUUGGUGUUUUGUUUUGUUUUGUUUUGUUUUUCCUCUCCUUGUCCUGUGCGGGAAUCAUAUGCCUCCUUCCUGUUGUCUAAGCUCCCCUCUUCCGUAGGCACAAACCUGCCCCCUCUGCGUUUUUUACCUUAAAACAGGUGUUCUGAGGAUUGUCUCUAGUUCUGGCGACGUCUUGAAAGAACUGAGUCUGAGCGAGGCAGACAGACGGCAGCAUUAGUGGUGAUGGAGCUGCACUGCUAAAUGUGGAGAUGGGAGGGGAAACACACCUGGGCUUCCACAGGGCAGGAGAAGAUCUGUCACUUGGGCAGAGCCUUUGAGUCGCACUCAGGUGAUCUCCAGGGUCUACACUCUCCCACCUGUGCUCCGAGGAGAGGUGUAGACUAUCUCUUGGAUUUUGCUUGGAGGAUGUCCUUUCCGGACUCAGGACCUAGGAGAGACCAGCAGGAAACAGAACAGAGUCUACAUAGGUGAAUAUCAAAGAAUCACCUGGAGAGAUUUACAGGUGUGUCCUGGAUUUGGGGGAACCAUGGAAACACAGAGUCAGCUACCUGUUGUGGUGAAAGUGAAGUCAGGAGUGGGGAAGGGUGGGGAGGGAGAGGGGUGAGGAGGGAGAGGGGUGGAAGGGCUGCUAAACAGUCUCUGUUUCCAAGAGUUAGCAAAACACAGAUGUACUAACCUCCCUUGGGUUACUAGAUGUACUAACACUCCCUUCAUCAGAGUGAGUGGCCUCCUAGUAGAAUAGGUUGGCUAUGCCACGGAACCAUUUUUAGGAGAUGUCCAGCAAUGGGGAGAGAAUUGAAAACCCCACAAGAUUAUUCCCCCAGGAGUGAGCCAGCAUGGAUGCAUUGCCAUAUUCCAGGAGGUGCGGUCUCUGGAGAUGUGAUUCAGUUAUGACUCAGAUACGCCCUUAUAAAGGAGGUGAUUGAAAAGGGUUGUCUUGGCCCCUUCAGUCAUGUGAGGAACACCCACACGUCACCACCUAUUCAGCAAGGAGUGGGCCCUCACCAGGCACCAAAUCUGCUAGCACCUUGGUCUUCAAAUUCUCACCCUCCAGAACAGCGAGUGAGCAAUACAUUCUCUGCUCUUCAAGUUUCCCCGAUUAAGGUGUUUUAUUACAGACAACAGACUGGGACAAAAGGCCUGAGUCACAGACCAGUGAUUGGCAAAACAGAGAAGCUGAAGCAACUGUACAGCAAGCAGGAGCUCACACACGGGAGCCUACCUCUGGGAAUGCCGAGAAGUCAAUGCAAUGGUCACAUCUCAGGUUGUCUGGACACACAGACGGUUCACAAAUCCCGGGAUGGACCAGGAAGGCCAUUCAGUGAGAUUGUGUUGAACUGGGGAGUGGUGACAGUAAACAUUGACAUUAUGGUCCUACAUACAUAUCAUACGUUCCAUUAGUGUCCUACAUAAGUUAUAACCUGCUUACUCCUCCCAGUGCCCUUGAGAGAUCAGCCUGCUAAUUCCCACUCCAGAGUCAGGGAAGCUAAGUGCUGGGGACUCAGGAAACUUGACUGCGUUUAUAGCCAGUGAGUGGCAAAGCUGAUGUUUGAAUCCGUGUUUCGUGUUUCAGAGUCUUGGGAAGCUACGGUUUUUGUCCAUGGUGAGUCCUUGUUCUAUUCUUGACCAAACCUGGCCCAACUUUCAGGCCCUACUCCAUCACGCAGUUUCCUGUCUACAGUGUCCCCUGCUUCACUGUGUUUCAGGGGCUGAGUUGCUACACCACCCUAGAUGGUGGGCUGAGGGGCCUCUUCUGAUGAACUCCCUUCAGAAUGCAUUCCCUUCACAUCUGUUACCUCUUGCGGUGUGGGUCGCUGCUCUGUGGAAGUUGGACAGAACCCUUGGAACCUCCCGUGUGAUUCUGAAGUCUAGUGCAAACUCCAGUCAGUAAACUAAGAGAAACCAUUUUUAGUCAAAGGAAGCAAGGAACACUCCAACCAGCCCAGACUGACUUUCUUCUGUGGUUAAAAAUCUGGAUCUCCAUGUAAUUGCAACUGGGAAGAUCCUGCUGGAAGAUGUGCCAAGGUAGCCCCACAUGUUCCAAAGGGAUCGAAACUCAUUUGGAAGGGUAUGUUCUGAGAGAGAGAGAGAGAGAGAGAGAGAGAGAGAGAGAGAGAGAGAAGAAGAAGAAGAAGAAGAAGAAGAAGAAGAAGAAGAAGAAGAAGAAGAAGAAGAAGAAGAAGAAGAAGGAAGAACAACAAGAACAACAAGGAAGAAGAAGGAGAAGAAGGAGAAGGAGGAGAAGAAGGAGGAGGAGGAGGAGGAGGAAGAAGGAGAAGAGAGAGAAUUUCUUCUACUACUUCUUUAUAUUUAUGUAUUUAUUCUCUUUUGCACUUAGUGUGUAACUUGGUGCCUUACAUAAACCAUGGAAUAAUUAGGCUUUCUUCAGGAUGUAAGGAAAUUCCCUACAUCAGAGGACCUUACUAUCCAAGCUAAGGUAAGAAUGAAGUCCCAGCCGCAAGGGUGAUGGAAGGGAGACGAUGAAGAUAACAUAUGGUGGGAACAUCUCCAGGGAUGAUGGGAGAUACGGCUACAAAUGCUGCAUCCUAGGAGGAUGAAUUCUUUUCCUGUCUGCCAGUGAUCUCAGUUUUGUCAAUCAUUUCCAUGUACCCUCCCACUUCCUACAACUGCACUUAAGCCUUAGAAGAAAUAGGACAGGCAGUCUGGACAACGAGUGACACCAGGGAGUCCCUAGGUGUGUAUUUCCUUGUAUGUCUCUGUAAGUGUGGUCCCCAGCAUCCUAAUGGUUUGAUUUUGGCAGUAACUGGCUUUCUUAGGCACACCACCACUGUCGUUGUGGCAUGCUCACUAAACAUGGACUCCCUGUUCUUUGCUAAUCAAAUCUACCUGUAUACUCAGAAAUGCCACGAGUAGUCUAAGGCAGGCAUUGGCUAUGCCUACCUGUCACCUCUUUGGGAAAAAUAAAGUUUUAUUAGAACACAGGCAUGUGUAUGUUUUCCUAUUGUCUAUGGCUAUGUUCAUGCUGUGAGAGCAGAAUUGAGACUACAUGGAUACAAAAAGUAAACUAUUAAUUAAUUGGUCUUUUACGGAAAACAUUUUUAGAUCUUUGAUCCAGAGCAUCCAUAGACAUUUUAUUUCCCUAUACCAAGUCAGUGUUAGACACGUAAAUACUUUGACCAUGGAAAUAAAAGGUAAAUUUGCUGGAAAUAUCUGAGAAAAAAAUCUUUUUUCUUAAUAAGAAAGGGGAAUGUGAGAAGAGAGCUUACUUUACAUCCUGUCAUGUGAGGACUUGAUGUCUGGAGCUGUGGCAGCCAUAUUAUGAUCAUGAGGGGGAAAAAAAAACCCACACAAACCUGAUUCUCCAAUAAUAUCAUGUAACGAGGCAAAGAAACCCGAGUGAGUGUGAAUUGUAUGUCACGGGCAUGGCCACAUCAAGGACUAGUGUCUCACACUCAUGGGAAUGGCAAAGGCUUCACCUAACUUCUGGGGUGCCAUCCUCAGAGGUAUGGCAGAGCCGGCCCCCUGAUCUGAGUGUGCAUGUUGACAGUGUGUCCAAGUGCAAAUGUUUACAAAUGAUGGCCAUUUCGUCCUCCCAGAUGUUUGUAGCUGGAGCCUACUCACCUACAGAGACCUCCUACAGAGGGGCUCUGCCCUGGCCUUUUGGGAUUCAGAGCUGAGGCGGGACACAGAGUUCGACAAAGCCAGAAGACUGAUAAUCUCAGACCUAACUGUACUGGGAGCUGGGAGCUGGGAGCUGUUGGCUUCAGGAAACUUAACCCUCUCUUGUUUAUUCUAUGGCCGAAAACUGCUGACUUCUUUUCGCUUUAACUCUGUGCUCUGGAGAAACUUAACUCUUUGUGCUUAAAUAAGCACUGGGGGUCACUUAACUCUUUGUUACUAUUCUGUGCUUUAAUAAACGCUG
rnacentral:lncRNA from 1 species